AAUAUGUUCCUGAGCCUUGUACACACCCGCCCGUCAAGCCACGAAAGUCGGGGGUACUCGAAGUCGCCAUAAGCGCCCACAGUAAAACCGAUGAUUGGGACU
rnacentral:rRNA from 1 species